AAAAUAUUAAAUAAAUAAUGGAUAAAUAAAUACAUAAAAAUAAAUACCAGCAAUAUUCUGGAGACACCCAAAUAAGAAUUUCCUUUCAAAGCUCUGUCUUUAAAACUACAUCUCUGGCUUUUUAAAGGCAUCUCCACUUGGGUAGUGUAUCAGUCAUGGUCCCGUUAGGAGUUAAAAACCACAUGAGUAAUUUAGAUAGAAAACUUUUAAUGUGCAGAAUUAACUAGCAAAAGAUGAUUAAGUGCUAAAAUGAGGGAAUAGAGGGCUGUGGGGGUAGAGAAAUAGGAAAUGCUGACAGCUACAACCUCUAGAGCUAUAUAAGCGUGAAAAACGGAGUAAUAAGAGCUGUCCUUUCCACCUCUCUCUGAGGCUGAAGUCCAGAUCUCUUGGGAGAAGAUGUGGCUGCCAGAGGAACAUGCAGUGCUGGAAAACUUGCCAGAAGGCACAAGGCUGGAGGUGGUCUGAGAGGGUUUCUGAGUUUUUAUAGGUAGAAUAAAAACCAUCACCAAACUCAGCAAACAACAUUCAAAGAAGAUAUCACCAAUGAAUAAAGGAAGAGAAAAUGCUUGUAGAUAAAGUGGCUUGAUGUCUAGGAUGGGAAAACACAGGUAAAAUUUUCCCUGCUUAAAAAAGGAAAUCAUGUUCUUGAAGCUGUGUUACUCAUCAUUGAAAUGCAUUGCUCUGAUAACAAAUAUGAAAUAUGUUGAGUCUGCCAUCUAACACACUCAUAGACAUACUGUGAAAAGAGAAAAGGUAAGAAUUGUCUUAAGGAGAUUUAUUUUGGAAGAUACAUCAAAACAACAAUUACACCAGCACCAACAAACACCAGAAAAACAAACAACCCAAAACUCCAUGAAAUUUGCCUAGAAUUUUGAAUUCAUUUUCCUGACUAGUUUGCACUGUUUAAUUUGUGCAAUAUAGAAACUGUGACUUAAAGAGGCUAAAUAGUCAGAGUUGACUCAGCUCAUUGGCUAGGAC
rnacentral:lncRNA from 1 species